UUCUUUCUAAUAUGACGGAAGAACUGGAGACCCUUAUGUAUAUUAGUGUCCAGACGAGACCCUACCCCCAUCUCCCCAUCUCACCUUACCCCUCAGAGAAUCCCUCGCAAGUUCCGCCGUAUGCCGCCUACCGGAAAUCGCCUCCGCCGACGGCGUUGCUCCAAUCAUCCCCAUUUUUACACCUUUAAUUCUUCUCUUUAUCCUCUUUCCAAAUCUCAAAACCUGCUCCCUCGAAUCCCAGCCUAGCUUCUUGAAUCUAGAAUUGAAGGUUAACAACCAAAACCCUAAUUUGUCCAAUUUGUCCCAAAAUUACACCCUAGGAUCCCCUUCAUCUCCUCAUCUCAAAUCCCUACCCAGUUUCCCUCAAUUCUCACCUAGAUUCCUCAAAUUUUGGAUCUGAAAUAUAGAGCUCUAGUCCCUAUU
rnacentral:lncRNA from 1 species